AACGAACGCUGGCGGCAUGCCUAACACAUGCAAGUCGAACGAGACCUUCGGGUCUAGUGGCGCACGGGUGCGUAACGCGUGGGAACCUGCCCUUAGGUUCGGAAUAACUCCCCGAAAGGGGUGCUAAUACCGGAUAAUGUCUUCGGACCAAAGAUUUAUCGCCUUUGGAUGGGCCCGCGUUGGAUUAGCUAGUUGGUAGGGUAAAAGCCUACCAAGGCGACGAUCCAUAGCUGGUCUGAGAGGAUGAUCAGCCACACUGGGACUGAGACACAGCCCAGACUCCUACGGGAGGCAGCAGUGGGGAAUAUUGGACAAUGGGCGAAAGCCUGAUCCAGCAAUGCCGCGUGAGUGAUGAAGGCCUUAGGGUUGUAAAGCUCUUUUACCCGGGAUGAUAAUGACAGUACCGGGAGAAUAAGAUCCGGCUAACUCCGUG
rnacentral:rRNA from 1 species